AAAGUCGUAACAAGGUUUCCGUAGGUGAACCUGCGGAAGGAUCAUUACAAUAAACAAGGCCGCAAGGCCCGCUGGAAGCCCGGCGCCCUGCGGGGGGGCGGGCUCACAGUAGACCCUCUGUGAAAAACCCACGUUGCUUCGGCAGCACCUACCCGCUUCCCGCGGGGAGGGUCAGCCUGCCGACGGCCCGGAAACUCCAUGUUGCAAAGCAGUACGCCGUCUGAACAGUGCAGUCAAAUGACUUUAAAACUUUCAACAACGGAUCUCUUGGUUCCC
rnacentral:misc_RNA from 1 species